rnacentral:rRNA from 1 species
GGCGAACGCUGGCGGCGUGCUUAACACAUGCAAGUCGAACGGAAAGGCCCUGCUUUUGUGGGGUGCUCGAGUGGCGAACGGGUGAGUAACACGUGAGUAACCUGCCCUUGACUUUGGGAUAACUUCAGGAAACUGGGGCUAAUACCGGAUAGGAGCUCCUGCUGCAUGGUGGGGGUUGGAAAGUUUCGGCGGUUGGGGAUGGACUCGCGGCUUAUCAGCUUGUUGGUGGGGUAGUGGCUUACCAAGGCUUUGACGGGUAGCCGGCCUGAGAGGGUGUCCGGCCACAUUGGGACUGAGAUACGGCCCAGACUCCUACGGGAGGCAGCAGUGGGGAAUAUUGCACAAUGGGCGGAAGCCUGAUGCAGCAACGCCGCGUGCGGGAUGACGGCCUUCGGGUUGUAAACCGCUUUCGCCUGUGACGAAGCGUGAGUGACGGUAAUGGGUAAAGAAGCACCGGCUAACUACGU